rnacentral:rRNA from 1 species
UACAGAGGGUGCAAGCGUUGCUCGGAAUUAUUGGGCGUAAAGGGCAGGUAGGCGGUCUUCUUCGUCUGCUGUUGAAAUCCUGGGGCUUAACCCCAGAAGUGCCACGGAAACGAUAAGACUUGGAGUACUGGAGAGGCUAGCGGAAUUCCCGGUGUAGCGGUGAAAUGCGUAGAGAUCGGGAGGAACACCAGAGGCGAAGGCGGCUAGCUGGACAGUAACUGACGCUCAGCUGCGAAAGCGUGGGGAGCAAACAGG